rnacentral:ncRNA from 1 species
GAGAGCCGUAUACUCUGAGAGGAGUACGUACGGUUCGGUGAGGGGUUUUGAGAAACCUGUCAUAACAAUAUGACAAGGCGCUCGCUUCCUACUCAAC